CCCUUAGAGUUUGAUCCUGGCUCAGGAUGAACGCUGGCGGCGUGCCUAAUACAUGCAAGUCGAGCGGUAAGGCUCCUUCGGGAGUACACGAGCGGCGGACGGCUGAGUAACGCGUAGGAACGUACCCCAAAGUGAGGGAUAAGCAUUGGAAACAGUGUCUAAUACCGCAUGUGAUCCACGGAUUAAAGCUUCGGCGCUUUGGGAACGGCCUGCGUAAGAUUAGCUAGUUGGUGAGGUAAUGGCUCACCAAGGCGACGAUCUUUAGCUGGUCUGAGAGGAUGAUCAGCCAGACUGGGACUGAGACACGGCCCAGACUCCUACGGGAGGCAGCAGUAGGGAAUUUUCCACAAUGGGCGAAAGCCUGAUGGAGCAACGCCGCGUGCAGGAUGAAUGCCUUAGGGUUGUAAACUGCUUUUAUAGGUGACGAAUAUGACGGUAACCUAUGAAUAAGGAUCGGCUAAUUCCGUGCCAGCAGCCGCGGUCAUACGGAAG
rnacentral:rRNA from 1 species